rnacentral:rRNA from 1 species
GACGAACGCUGGCGGCGUGCUUAACACAUGCAAGUCGAACGGAAAGGCCCUGCUUGCAGGGUACUCGAGUGGCGAACGGGUGAGUAACACGUGGGUGAUCUGCCCUGCACUUCGGGAUAAGCCUUGGAAACUGGGUCGAAUACCGGAUAGGAGCCAUUCUUAGUGUGAUGGUUGGAAAGUUUUUUCGGUGUAGGGUGAGCUCGCGGCCUAUCAGCUUGUUGGUGGGGUAAUGGCCUACCAAGGCGGCGACGGGUAGCCGGCCUGAGAGGGUGGACGGCCACAUUGGGACUGAGAUACGGCCCAGACUCCUACGGGAGGCAGCAGUGGGGAAUAUUGCACAAUGGGCGAAAGCCUGAUGCAGCGACGGCGCGUGGGGGAUGACGGCCUUCGGGUUGUAAACUCCUUUCGCUAGGGACGAAGCUUUUUGUGACGGUACCUAGAGAAGAAGCACCGGCUAACUACGUG